rnacentral:rRNA from 1 species
AACGAACGCUGGCGGCAGGCUUAACACAUGCAAGUCGAACGCACCUUUCGGGGUGAGUGGCAGAUGGGUGAGUAACGCGUGGGAAUCUACCCUUCUCUACGGGAUAGCUCCGGGAAACUGGAAUUAAUACCGUAUACGUCCUGAGGGAGAAAGAUUUAUCGGGGAAGGAUGAGCCCGCGUUGGAUUAGCUAGUUGGUGGGGUAAAGGCCUACCAAGGCGACGAUCCAUAGCUGGUCUAAGAGGAUGAUCAGCCACAUUGGGACUGAGACACGGCCCAAACUCCUACGGGAGGCAGCAGUGGGGAAUAUUGGACAAUGGGCGCAAGCCUGAUCCAGCCAUGCCGCGUGAGUGAUGAAGGCCCUAGGGUUGUAAAGCUCUUUCAGUGGGGACGAUAAUGACGGUACCCACAGAAGAAGCCCCGGCUAACUUCGUG